rnacentral:lncRNA from 1 species
UACAGCUUUCGCUACAUUGCCAAGAUUGUAACUGCACGCCCGAGUUAGAUGAAUGCGGGAUAUUGUACAGGCAUAAGAAUGAAGAUAUGCGUCUAAUGGUCGAGGCUUGGCAUAUCAAUAAUGGUGGAAGUGCGUGCGUAGUCAGCCAUCGAUUACCUUACAUAAGAAAGAGAUGAAAUGCCCCAACAGUUAUAUCUCACGUAGACCGGCACGUGUACCCGAUUGACACGUGGUGCUACCAUUCCAGAGCAU